rnacentral:lncRNA from 1 species
UUCACCAAAAACCUUUGUUGGUUUUGCGGGCUCACCAACGAACCUUUACAAAGUGUUUAACAAAUAAAAAGAAAAGAUUCAAACUCCUAAAUGAGCAUAUAAAACAAUAUAAACUACAAAGAAGAGUUAGAAAGUAUUUAUCGCUUUGAAGUGGCUUUGCUCUUCUUUGUCAAGGAUGCUUCACUCUUCAAGGGAGGAUGGAGCUCUUGAUGCCUCUUUGAAACUGCUCAAUCCCUUUCUUUGAUUGUUGAAUGAAGCUCUUGAUGAAGGAGAUUAGGGCACUUUUGUUUUCUUGUGUAUUCCUUGAUAUUCCUUUCAAAAGUAGUUCUAUCUGAUGAAUAGUGCCCCUUUAAAUAGUUUCCAACCUUCCUUGGACAAGCCCCAAUGGUCAGAUUUGAAAAACUAGCCGUUACUCACCUUGGAAAGGACAAAAAGUACAUCUGCAGAACUAGCCGUUACUGUUCAGCCCGUGUUUGGGUCGGCUCAACCUGUC